ensembl:lncRNA
AAUUAAAACCACAAUGGAGGGGAGGAGCCAAGAUGGCGGAGGAGUAGGACGGGGAGAACACUUUCUCCCCCACAAAUUCAUCAAAAGAGCAUUUAAACGUCGAGUAAAUUCCACAAAACAACUUCUGAAUGCCGGCAGAGGACAUCAGGCACCCAGAAAAGCAACCCAACUCUUCGAAAGGAGUUUCAGAUAUUCCCCAGAGCUUCCCAGGAAGCCAUUGGAGAAUGAACCCAUCUCAGUGCUGGAUCCAUGGUAGAAGCUUAGAAAGCCCUUGUUCCUGGUUGAUGAAAUGCUUCCAUCCCUGCUCUUGGAGUGCAUGCUAGAAUGGUUUCAUAAGAAACUCAGCCUAACAAC